GAUGUGAGAUAGCACUGUUCUAUGUGCCGAGGGCCUCUGGAUAUUUCUGAUUGGUUUAAUUUACCACAUCUAACACGGCUGCUUCUCAAGUCUGCGACUUUUAUCUAAUGCUGUGAACCUCUAUUGAUUUCUCUUCUGUAUCUUUAAUGCAGGACUGAAGCAAAGAGAGCAAAAAAAAAAAGCACUUGCUAAAUGGAGGACUACUUUGAGAUGGCUGCUAUUCUCCGGCUUAUUGCCUCCUGUCGGCCAUGGUUUCACAUGAGGUCCGAGGUGUCAGGUCCGCUUCCACCAAUAAAGGCUGUGAUUGACACUAGCGGGAGAGACUUGAGCUGGGAAAAGAAACUGAAUCUCAAUGUAUGAGGGAAAAUCUAAAAAAAAAAAAACAGCAUUGGAGGACAAAGUCAUGCUUCGGCCAUACAUCUGGAAACACUCUAAACCAACAUCCUGGUAUAAAUUUGCAAAACGCAAUACAGGCCGGAUUGUGCGCGGGACGGACGCGGGACGCAUACAAAUGGCCCCCCGUCUAAAGUACCCCCUGUUUCUCUUCAGCCUCAGAAAGUAAUGUACAAUAAAUCAACAAAAGAGCGUUAAUGCCUCCGUUGAGUAUAGGAGAGGCUUCUGUUAUUGUGCCUUUUUUUAAGUAUUUAAUUGGAAGGGUCCUUUGAAAUGUUACACGGCUCCUUCAGAUGACUUUUCCCCAAAUCUAAGAAAAGAUUGAUAAGAAUUUCUUUCCUCCCUCUCUUAAAUCUCUUCUGCAU